rnacentral:lncRNA from 1 species
AAAAUCUUGCUCACUGGCAAAAGGAAUUGUGAUUGGGGUAACAGGAGGACAGGAUUCAAAAGGAGUUAAAGUGGCCAGGCAGGCCAAUUAACUCCCCAGGCUGCACCUGGAGAAGGAGCUAGGGAGCAGGGAACUAAUUGGAAGCAGGUUCAGCUGUGCAGGAACAGCGGGGGCCUAUAUAAAGCCCAGAGGUUGUGCACGUUAAAAGGAGGCCUGCUGGGAAAGGCUGCUGGUAGUAGUCACUCUCUGGGAAGAGGGUUUUGGAGCUGGGGGACCAGAUGUGAUAGGAAGCAGCCCAGGAAAGGUGUGAUGAGAGAGGAAAACCCAGAACUGCUGAGCUGAGAGUCCCUGGACUGGAACCUGGAGUAGAAGGCAGGCCUAAGUUCCCCUACCAGCCACUGAGGCAGUGGAAGAGAAGAUGGCCUAGGACUGCUAGGGAGAGGGGACUUUGCUACCCCGGAAGGGGAAAACACUGAGUGACCUGGCUGGAGGACUGAGUCAUGAAGAGGACACUGGUUCCUGGAGUGAGAGAGGGGCUGCAGACCAGAGGAAGAGACAGAAUGAUGGUGUACAAACCGCUUAAGGGGGUGUUGACCUCUAGAGCUAAUCCCCAGAACAACCAGGAGGAGGUGACAAACCAGUGGUGUGCCCUUUCAGAGUAUUUUCCCAAGUGGCUGAAUGCUGGAGACCUAAACUCCCGUUGACUUAAUUGGGGCCAGAAUUUCAUUCCUUAGUAUCUAGAGCCUCCUCAAAACCUUACUUCUCUGAGGGUGACAUCUGUGAUUCUGCAAAGGGUCCGUGGAAGUGAUAGGUAUCACCAGAGGGAUGAAUUUCAUCAGCUGAAAACCAAGUCCUGGAGAAGUGAGCACAUUGACCAGGUAGAGAUAUUUAUUAUUUUUAAAUAUGAAUAGUGAAGGACAGAGGGUGAAUAAUGGGGUUAGAUUCUUUUGAAAGAUAGGAUGAGUUUUUAAAAACCUGUUAGUGGCAGAGAAAGGAAAGUCCAUUAUCUGAGGCUGGCAGAAACUGUGUUCUUACAGGA